AUGUAUUAUUCCUCCUCCAUAAUCCUCCACCACCGUCCCCCGCCAGGGGCUCCAGAGGCCCCGCCUGGCCUGUUAUGCCUCCCCCACCCCCGCCAAGAGCUCCAGAGGUCCCGCCUGGGUGUUUUAUCCAUUUCCCACCCCCGCCAGAGGCUCCAGAGCUCCCGCCUGGGUGUUUUAUCCAUUUCCCACCCCCGCCAUAGGCUCCAGAGGCCCCGCCUGGAUGUUUUAUUCCUCCUCCAUUAUCCUCCCCCCCCCCCGCCAGGGCUCCAGAGCUCCCGCCUGGGUGUUUUAUCCAUUUCCCACCCCCGCCAGAGGCUCCAGAGGCCCCGCCUGGCCUGUUAUGCCUCCCCCACCCCCGCCAAGAGCUGCAGAGGUCCCGCCUGGGUGUUUUAUCCAUUUCCCACCCCCGCCAGAGGCUCCAGAGGCCCCGCCUGGCCUGUUAUGCCUCCCCACCCCCGCCAAGAGCUCCAGAGGUCCCGCCUGGGUGUUUUAUCCAUUUCCCACCCCGCCAGAGGCUCCAGAGCUCCCGCCUGGGUCGUCAUGCCUCCCCCACCCCCGCCCAAGAGCUCCAGAGGUCCCGCCUGGGUGUUUUAUCCAUUUCCCACCCCCGCCAGAGGCUCCAGAGCUCCCGCCUGGGUCGUCAUGCCUCCCCCACCCCCGCCAAGGGCUCCAGAGGCCCCGCCUGGCUCGUUAUGCCUCCCCCACCCCCGCCAAGAGCUCCAGAGGUCCCGCCUGGGUGUUUUAUCCAUUUCCCACCCCCGCCAUAGGCUCCAGAGGCCCCGCCUGGAUGUUUUAUUCCUCCUCCAUUAUCCUCCACCACCGUCCCCCGCCAGGGGCUCCAGAGGCCCCGCCUGGGUGUUUAUCCAUUUCCCCCCCCCGCCAGAGGCUCCAGAGGCCCCGCCUGGCCUGUUAUGCCUCCCCCACCCCGCCAAGAGCUGCAGAGGUCCCGCCUGGGUGUUUAUCCAUUUCCCACCCCCGCCAGAGGCUCCAGAGGCCCCGCCUGGCCUGUUAUGCCUCCCCCACCCCCGCCAAGAGCUCCAGAGGUCCGCCUGGGUGUUUUAUCCAUUUCCCACCCCCGCCAGAGGCUCCAGAGCUCCCGCCUGGGUCGUCAUGCCUCCCCCACCACCGCCCAAGAGCUCCAGAGGUCCCGCCUGGGUUUAUCCAUUUCCCACCCCCGCCAGAGGCUCCAGAGCUCCCGCCUGGGUCGUCAUGCCUCCCCCACCCCCGCCAAGGGCUCCAGAGGCCCCGCCUGGCUCGUUAUGCCUCCCCCACCCCCGCCAAGAGCUCCAGAGGUCCCGCCUGGGUGUUUUAUCCAUUUCCCACCCCCGCCAGAGGCUCCAGAGGUCCCGCCUGGGUGUUUUAUCCAUUUCCCACCCCGCCAGAGGCUCCAGAGGCCCGCCUGGCCUGUUAUGCCUCCCCCACCCCCGCCAAGAGCUCCAGAGGUCCCGCCUGGGUGUUUUAUCCAUUUCCCACCCCCGCCAGAGGCUCCAGAGCUCCCGCCUGGGUCGUCAUGCCUCCCCCACCCCCGCCCAAGAGCUCCAGAGGUCCCGCCUGGGUGUUUUAUCCAUUUCCCACCCCCGCCAGAGGCUCCAUAGCUCCCCCCUGGGUCGUCAUGCCUCCCCCACCCCCGCCAAGGGCUCCAGAGGCCCCGCCUGGCUCGUUAUGCCUCCCCCACCCCCGCCAAGAGCUCCAGAGGUCCCGCCUGGGUGUUUUAUCCAUUUCCCACCCCCGCCAGAGGCUCCAGAGCUCCCGCCUGGGUGUUUUAUCCAUUUCCCACCCCCGCCAAGGGCUCCAGAGGCCCCGCCUGGCCUGUUAUGCCUCCCCCACCCCCGCCAAGAGCUCCAGAGGUCCCGCCUGGGUGUUUUAUCCAUUUCCCACCCCCGCCAGAGGCUCCAGAGCUCCCGCCUGGGUCGUCAUGCCUCCCCCACCCCCGCCAAGGGCUCCAGAGGCCCCGCCUGGCUCGUUUGUGCCUCCUGGGGAAAAGAUGAAAUAAAAAUAAAAUGAAGACAGAUGAACAAACAAAAAAAAAAAAUUCAGGGGGAAAAAAAAAAUAAUAAUAAAAGAGAAAUAAAUAAAUAAAUACA
ensembl:lncRNA